rnacentral:tRNA from 1 species
GCAUUAGCAGUUCAGCGGUAGAACUCUUGCUUCCCACGUGGGAGACCUGGAUUAGAUUCUGGCCAAUGCA